CACGUAGGGUGCGAGCGUUGUCCGGAAUUAUUGGGCGUAAAGAGCUCGUAGGCGGUGUGUCGCGUCGGCCGUGAAAACCUGCAGCUUAACUGUGGGCUUGCGGUCGAUACGGGCAUCACUGGAGUUCGGCAGGGGAGACUGGAAUUCCUGGUGUAGCGGUGAAAUGCGCAGAUAUCAGGAGGAACACCGAUGGCGAGGGCAGGUCUCUGGGCAUUAACUGACGCUGAGGAGCGAAAGCAUGGGGAGCGAACAGG
rnacentral:rRNA from 1 species